rnacentral:rRNA from 1 species
GACGAACGCUGGCGGCGCGCCUAACACAUGCAAGUCGAGCGGAGCUAAGACUUCGGUCUUAGUUUAGCGGCGGACGGGUGAGUAACGCGUGAGUAACCUGCCCUUCAGCGGGGGAUAGCCUUCCGAAAGGGAGAUUAAUACCGCAUAUACUCCAAGCAUCGCAUGGUGCAAGGAGGAAAGGAGUAAUCCGCUAUGAGAUGGACCCGCGGCGCAUUAGCUAGUUGGUGAGGUAACGGCUCACCAAGGCGACGAUGCGUAGCCGACCUGAGAGGGUGAUCGGCCACAUUGGAACUGAGAAACGGUCCAGACUCCUACGGGAGGCAGCAGUGGGGAAUAUUGCACAAUGGGCGAAAGCCUGAUGCAGCAACGCCGCGUGAGUGAUGAAGUACUUCGGUAUGUAAAGCUCUGUCUUUGGGGACGAUAAUGACGGUACCCAAGGAGGAAGCCACGGCUAACUACGUGCCAGCAGCCGCGGUAAUACGUAGGUGGCGAGCGUUGUCCGGAAUUACUGGGCGUAAAGGAUGCGUAGGUGGACUUUUAAGUCAGAUGUGAAAUCCCCGGGCUUAACCUGGGGGCUGCAUUUGAAACUGGAGGUCUAGAGUGCAGGAGAGGUAAGUGGAAUUCCUAGUGUAGCGGUGAAAUGCGUAGAUAUUAGGAAGAACACCAGUGGCGGAGGCGACUUACUGGACUGUAACUGACACUGAGGCAUGAAAGCGUGGGGAGCAAACAGGAUUAGAUACCCUGGUAGUCCACGCUGUAAACGAUGGGUACUAGGUGUGGGAGGUAUCGACUCCUUCCGUGCCGCCGUUAACACAAUAAGUACCCCGCCUGGGGAGUACGGUCGCAAGAUUA